UUUUGAGAAUUUUUAUUGAAUCUUGCGCAAAAUGAAGAUUCAAUUCUCGAUUUGACAACUAUGCUGUUAGCUUUUCUCUGUGGGAAAUUGUUUCAUAAUGCAUUUUUGCUGUGUGCUUCUUACAAUCCAAUGUCCCACCUAAAAGCAACCUCCAAAGAGAAGAGGGGCAAGGAGAGGAAAAUGAUCUCUAUUUGUCAGAUGGCAGUUGAGAUUUUGUGAGUGAAAUAUGAUGAGUUCACGUAAGACAUCCUGCUGAUCUCAUUCCACUCCUUGUUCAGUUCAGUGAGCCAUAUGAAAUGCUAUCUGCAAGUCAUUCAUAUUGUGAUUUGUGAAAGCAUGUAUUGCUAAGAUAAGGAUGUUGUCAUAUUGAAUUGCAUCCAUUGCAUAAGUAUCUUCUUUCAAAAUUGAUAUUUGCAGAAACAAACGGAAAUACAAAGGCCUAGAUGAACCUUCUGCUUUAUGCAUGGCCAUGGAAGGCGUUAAAGCAUUCAAUGGUUUGGAGUGUAAGAUUGCCUGUAAUUCAUAUAAGAUUUCCUAUGUUCUGGACACGGAGGAUUUCUUUUAUCGAUUAAGAAAGAAAAGAAGGAAUUCAUCACAGGUCAAAUCUUUGUAUCAUGAUCAGGUUCAGGCAAGAGUACAUCGCUUCCACAGAUUCUUAUCAUCAUGAUGAUAAUUCCUGAUUUCCAUUUUGCUAGUCAAGAAGUCCUUGGCACGCCCCAAAGGUAUAGACUUUCUUGAGAUAACUCCCUCUGGUAUUAUACUAAUUUGUGAAGUGACAACUCAAGAAAGGGAAUGACUCAUGAAUGGUUUAAGGGCACGCGUUUGAGCCAUUGUUGUGUAAAUAGGGUUGACGGAUGAAAUUUUUAUAUAAAUGUAUUUUAUUGUUCAUGUCUUCUAGGUAGGAGUUCAUCUUUCUUCCUUUUUUUUCCCCCACAUUAACAGUUUGUGUCGCUUACCGUUUGUGGACACUUCACCUAAUUAAGUUCCCACGGUAGAACCUACUUGAAUUUGUAAGCAUAAGAAAAUGAUGAGACAGGGAAAAUAACAGAAGUUAUCUAUGUAAAGCUCCCAGUUUUCUUUCCUAGGCAUUUUGUUUUGCAGUACAUUAAGCAUCAGCAAUUUUGUUGGUAGAUUUGAAGAUAUUGUACUUGCACUUUCUCUCCAUUUCUUUCCCUUUUUUAUUUUUUGGGUUUUAUUUGAUUUGGUGAAAUUAUAUGAUAUUGUAGGCUCAAGGGAUAUUGAUUUGGUGGGCAGUGAUGAGGAUUUGGAGAAAGUCAUGCACCACUCUGAUUUCCUGUGCUGAUAAAUCUCUCAUACCCAUAUACUUCUGAGCCUAAUCGUCCUUGAUCCUUAUCUGUGUGUGUUGUUUGUUUGUGUUUUGUAAAGAAGGAACCAAGUGAUGGGGUCGUGUGACCUGAACCAUGAUGCGGACCGUACAGCAAUCUUCCAUUGCUUCUGGGGAUAACUUUUGGUUUCUGAUGGUUCCUUCUUCAUUCUUCAAUGGCUUUUGCUUUCCAUUCUUAUAUUUAUGCAUUUGUUUCUUAGUUUUACUUCAUUUUUUUUUCUUAAUUAACAUUGGAUGAAUAAAUAUGUGCAAGCAUUUUCAUCUGAUUGAAUUUGGAUUAACAAGAAAUUGAUUAUUCUCUAAUUUUAUAUCACCCAACCUCUUGGAGAGAGAUGAAAUCCAGCUUUAGGAUCUCAAGGAUUUGCAAAUUUAUGAUCCAAUUGGUUUAUUUCUUAAGGAAUUUUAGUCUACAAUUCUGCUUGAAAUGAAAA
rnacentral:misc_RNA from 1 species